GUAUUCAUGGUCAGGCAAAUGCCUGGGUAAACACCCAAGCAUUUGCCUGACCAUGAAUAC
rnacentral:miRNA from 1 species